rnacentral:tRNA from 1 species
GGGAGGAUAGCUCAGCGGAUAGAGCGGCGGUGCGCACCCAUAAUGGCCAAGAUGCAGCAGGUCACAGGUUCGAUUCCUGUUCCUCCCAC